rnacentral:rRNA from 1 species
UAGGCGGAAUGUGAUGUGUAGCGGUGAAAUGCUUAGAUAUAUCACAGAACACCGAUUGCGAAGGCAGCUUACUAAACUGUAACUGACGCUGAGGCACGAAAGCGUGGGUAUCGAACAGGAUUAGAUACCCUGGUAGUCCACGCCGUAAACGAUGAUUACUAGUUGUUUGCAAUACACCGUAAGCGACAAAGCGAAAGCAUUAAGUAAUCCACCUGGGGAGUACGUUGGCAACAAUGAAACUCAAAGGAAUUGACGGGGGCCCGCACAAGCGGUGGAACAUGUGGUUUAAUUCGAUGAUACGCGAGGAACCUUACCUGGACUUAAAUGGGGAGUGACAGGCUUAGAGAUAGGCUUUUCUUCGGACACUCUUCAAGGUGCUGCAUGGUUGUCGUCAGCUCGUGCCGUGAGGUGUCGGGUUAAGUCCCAUAACGAGCGCAACCCACGUCUUUAGUUACCAGCAUGUAAUGAUGGGGACUCUAGAGAGACUGCCGGUGUAAACCGCGAGGAAGGUGUGGAUGACGUCAAAUCAGCACGGCCCUUACGUCCAGGGCUACACACGUGUUACAAUGGCCGGUACAGAGGGCAGCUACUAUGCGAAUAGAUGCGAAUCUCGAAAACCGGUCUCAGUUCGGAUCGGAGUCUGCAACCCGACUCCGUGAAGCUGGAAUCGCUAGUAAUCGCGCAUCAGCCAUGGCGCGGUGAAUACGUUCCCGGGCCUUGUACACACCGCCC